AUGAAUGCUGGCAGCGUGGAUAAGGCAUGCAAGUCGAGCGAUCUAUCAUUUGCUAUAGCAAUAUAAUGGGUGAUGGGUAGCGGCAAAUGGGUUAGUAACAGGUAGGGAACCUCUCCGAAAGUGGGGAAUAACUCGUCGAAAGACGAGCUAAUACCCCAUGGUCCGUGUAGACGAAAGUCUCACACGGUAAAGAUUUAUCGCUUUCGGCAGGCCCUGCUUCCUAUCAGCUAGUUGGUGAGGUAAUAGCUCACCAAGGCUAUGACGGGUAGGGGGUGUGAGAGCAUGACCCCCAACACUGGAACUGAGACACUGUCCAGACACCUACGGGUGGCUGCAGUCGAGAAUCUUCGGCAAUGGACGAAAGUCUGACCGAGCGACGCUGCGUGCAGGAAGAAGGCCUUCGGGUUGUAAACUGCUGUCGUAUGGGAAGAAUUUUGACGGUACCAUACAAGAAAGGGGCACCUAACUCUGUGCCAGCAGGUGCGGUAAUACAGAGGCCCCGAGCGUUAUUCGGAUCUAUUGGGCGUAAAGCGUCCGCAGGUGGAGUAGUGCGUCUGCUGUUAAAUCCCGGGGCUCAACCCCGGACAUGCAGUAGAUACGACUACUCUCGAGGCAGGUAGAGGUAAGCGGAACUCAUAGUGGAGCGGUGAAAUGCGUUGAUAUUAUGGGGAACACCAAUUGCGAAGGCAGCUUACUGGUCCUGUCCUGACACUCAUGGACGACAGCGUGGGGAGCGAAGCGGAUUAGAUACCCGCGUAGUCCACGCCGUAAACUAUGUCAACUAGGCAUUGGGAGUAUCGACCCUCUCAGUGUCGAAGCUAACGCGUUAAGUUGACCGCCUGGGUAGUACGGCCGCAAGGCUAAAACUCAAAGGAAUAGACGGGGGCCCGCACAAGCGGUGGAGCGUGUGGUUUAAUUCGACGGUAAGCGAGGAACCUUACCAGGGCUUGAAAUCUAGCUGCAUCCCAGCAGAAACGUUGGGAGCCUAUCGAGGGUGCUAGACAGGUGCUGCAUGGUUGUCGUCAGCUCGUGUUGUGAAAUGUUUCCUUCAGUGGAGUAACGAGCGCAACCCCUGUCGUGUGUUGUUUAUCACACGAGACUGCCGUGGUUAACACGGAGGAAGGUGGGGACGACGUCAAAUCAGCAUGGUCCUCUGACGCCCUGGGCGACACACGCGCUACAAUGGUUGGGACAAUGAGUUUAUGCCACUUCGCGAGAAGGAGCUAAUCUAAAAACCCAAUCUCAGUUCGGAUUGGAGUCUGCAACUCGACUCCAUGAAGCUGGAAUCGCUAGUAACCGUAAAUCAGCCACGUUACGGUGAAUACGUUCUCGGGCUUUGUACUCACCGCCCGUCAACUCAGAAGAGUUGACAGUACCUGAAGCUCCCGCGUUCGCGGGAACCACGGUAAGGUCAAUGAUUAGGAGU
rnacentral:rRNA from 1 species